rnacentral:rRNA from 1 species
CGUAAAGAGCUCGUAGGCGGUUUGUCGCGUCUGCCGUGAAAGUCCGGGGCUCAACUCCGGAUCUGCGGUGGGUACGGGCAGACUAGAGUGAUGUAGGGGAGACUGGAAUUCCUGGUGUAGCGGUGAAAUGCGCAGAUAUCAGGAGGAACACCGAUGGCGAAGGCAGGUCUCUGGGCAUUAACUGACGCUGAGGAGCGAAAGCAUGGGGAGCGAACAGGAUUAGAUACCCUGGUAGUCCAUGCCGUAAACGUUGGGCACUAGGUGUGGGGGACAUUCCACGUUUUCCGCGCCGUAGCUAACGCAUUAAGUGCCCCGCCUGGGGAGUACGGCCGCAAGGCUAAAACUCAAAGGAAUUGACGGGGGCCCGCACAAGCGGCGGAGCAUGCGGAUUAAUUCGAUGCAACGCGAAGAACCUUACCAAGGCUUGACAUGGGCCGGACCGGGCUGGAAACAGUCCUUCCCCUUUGGGGCCGGUUCACAGGUGGUGCAUGGUUGUCGUCAGCUCGUGUCGUGAGAUGUUGGGUUAAGUCCCGCAACGAGCGCAACCCUCGUUCCAUGUUGCCAGCGCGUAAUGGCGGGGACUCAUGGGAGACUGCCGGGGUCAACUCGGAGGAAGGUGGGGACGACGUCAAAUCAUCAUGCCCCUUAUGUCUUGGGCUUCACGCAUGCUACAAUGGCCGGUACAAAGGGUUGCGAUACUGUGAGGUGGAGCUAAUCCCAAAAAGCCGGUCUCAGUUCGGAUUGGGGUCUGCAACUCGACCCCAUGAAGUCGGAGUCGCUAGUAAUCGCAGAUCAGCAACGCUGCGGUGAAUACGUUCCCGGGCCUUGUACACACCGCCCGUCAAGU